GCAACGGCUUCAGCUGACUGAAAACCUCCUCCAGACUGCUCUGUGUAUCACCUGCUUCUGAAAAAUCUGGAGUUUCUGGUUCUGGGUGUUCGUGUUCUUCAAAAAGGUCGUCAUCUGGGAACUCGUCGUGCUCCGGAGCUUGCUCGAAGUUGGAUUCCGGCUCAUGGGUUUUGUGCGGAGGGGCAGCGGCGGCGGGGGGCUGAGAUGGGUAGAAAUUGAUGGACUUGAGCCGCUGCAGCAGAGAAGGGGAUCUGGUCAAUGGGGGCUGUUCGAGCUCGUGGGUGUGCUUAAAAGCGUAAUGGGUAGCCUCAGUAGUUUCUGGGUGUUGCUCGAAAGUGCCGGCGUGUGGCUCCGGGGAUCUGUACUGGUAGAGGUUGAUGGAUUUGAGCCUCUGCAGCAUAGAUGGAGAUCUGGCGAGGCCUCCGCCUUGGUGGUUGUUCUGGUGCUGCUGCGGGUCCUGCUGUUUCUGGGUGGAGCCCAAGUUUGAAGCAAUGGCGAUGGUGCCAAUCAUGACAUUGAG
rnacentral:lncRNA from 1 species